AUGAUGGCACCGGAGCCGGCCGUGCUACCCGACGACGCCCUCGCGGAGGUCCUCCGGCGCCUCGCGCCGCACGUCCUGGCCGCGGCCCGGCGGGUCUGCAAGGCGUGGCGCGACGCCGUCGACGCCCGCCUGCGCGGCAGCCUGCUCUCGCGCUCGGUGCGCGGCAUCUUCAUCAACUUCAACCAGCAUAGCUGCUUCUCCGAGUUCUUCUCCCGCCCCUCGACGGGCCCGGCGAUUUGCGGGGGGCUCGACUUCCUGCCCUGCAUGGGCGUCCAGGUCACGGACCAUUGCAACGGGCUCCUGCUCUGCGGCGAACGGAUGAACGAGGACCGUGCGCUGCCGCGUGAGUACGUCGUCAACCCGGCCACGCAUCGGUGGGCGCGUCUGCCCCAACGCCCUCGGCCGCACAUGCCGGGAUUCGAUCAGACCGCCUACCUCGUGUUCGAUCCCGCCGUGUCGACGCACUACCAGGUCUUUCUGAUCCCACGCUUGCCAGCGGCCGGCGAAUCGGAUGAGGACGAAUCGGACGACGACGAGUGGCCUCCCGCGUCAUACGUGAUGCAUGUGUUCUCUUCGGUGACACAACGGUGGGACGAGACGACCUUCCUUCGGAAAGGGGAGGCUGCAGGGAUCGUCGGCAACAUGGAUUCGGAUUUGUGGUAUAAACAGCAUCGUUAUCAUGCCGUCUACUGGCAAAGCACGCUCUACAUUCAUUGCCAGCAUGGCUAUCUUGCGAGGAUGUCCUUGUCAGAUCUCACGUACAAAAUAAUCAAGCUACCAGGUGCCUGUGAAUUGAGAGGUUAUCCGAACCACCAUCUGGGGAGAUCACUGGGAGGGGUUUAUUGUGCGAUACUUAUUAAUGGCUGGAGUCAACUUCAGCUUUGGUAUCUCAAUGAAUCGUACGGUCGAAUUGAGUGGGUGUUAAAACAUGAUACCUUUCUUGGAAAGACCUUUGAACGUGAGGACUAUGCUCGACAACUGGCCAAACGAUGGAUCUUGCAGGAUGUUAACUACUGUAAGUGGUCUUUCAAAUACCCUGAGGAUUACACAACACAUGCAAAUUACAAAGCGCCGGUGGAAGAGAAAUAUGAUUGGAACUCCGACGAGGAUAACAUUCUUGACAAUGAAGAUGAUGUUCAAGGGGGUUGCCGUGACAACUAUUAUUUCCUUGGGUUUCAUCCUUGUAAAGAGGUUGUCUUCUUGAUUGCAUCAGGGAUAUCAGCCAGGGGACUGGCCUAUGACUGGAACAACUCGAAAUUCCAGGAUUUGGGCACUUCAUGUCCGACAGAUUACGACGACUUCGACAGACGACCAUGCGGAGAGACGGACUCAUCUUUCCCAUACACGCCUUGUUGGAUGGGUGUGUUUGCUGGUAACGAAUUAGAAUCUCUACUUGAAGAUGAGAAACUAUAUAGAAAAAAGUUGGAACAGAAAUCUCAACGUAAAGAGAAAGCCACCUUUACCUUCAUGGACGAGUAUGAGCUGCGCAAGCAUCGCGGGCACACCAAGAGAGUCAAGGAAUCUAACGCCAAGAAUCGUCGUAGACGCGCCGUAUAG
rnacentral:rRNA from 1 species